CAUACCACCCUGAACGCGCCCGAUCUCGUCUGAUCUCGGAAGCUAAGCAGGGUCGGGCCUGGUUAGUACUUGGAUGGGAGAAGAAAUAAUGAAAAGAGGGA
rnacentral:rRNA from 1 species